UACGGAGGGUGCAAGCGUUGUUCGGAAUUACUGGGCGUAAAGCGAGUGUAGGCGGCGACGUCAGUCGGAUGUGAAAGCCCUCGGCUCAACCGAGGAAGUGCAUCCGAUACUGCGUCGCUUGAGUAUCGGAGGGGGUGGCGGAAUUCCUGGUGUAGAGGUGAAAUUCGUAGAUAUCAGGAGGAACACCUGUGGCGAAGGCG
rnacentral:rRNA from 1 species